GACGUAGGGCGCGAGCGUUGUCCGGAUUUAUUGGGCGUAAAGAGCUCGUAGGCGGUCUGUCGCGUCUGCUGUGAAAACUCGGGGCUUAACCCCGGGCCUGCAGUGGGUACGGGCAGACUAGAGUGCGGUAGGGGAGAUUGGAAUUCCUGGUGUAGCGGUGGAAUGCGCAGAUAUCAGGAGGAACACCGAUGGCGAAGGCAGAUCUCUGGGCCGUAACUGACGCUGAGGAGCGAAAGCGUGGGGAGCGAACAGG
rnacentral:rRNA from 1 species